AAAUUGAAGAGUUUGAUCAUGGCUCAGAUUGAACGCUGGCGGCAGGCCUAACACAUGCAAGUCGAACGGUAACAGGAAGCAGCUUGCUGCUUCGCUGACGAGUGGCGGACGGGUGAGUAAUGUCUGGGAAACUGCCCGAUGGAGGGGGAUAACUACUGGAAACGGUGGCUAAUACCGCAUAACGUCGCAAGACCAAAGAGGGGGACCUUCGGGCCUCUUGCCAUCGGAUGUGCCCAGAUGGGAUUAGCUGGUAGGUGGGGUAACGGCUCACCUAGGCGACGAUCCCUAGCUGGUCUGAGAGGAUGACCAGCCACACUGGAACUGAGACACGGUCCAGACUCCUACGGGAGGCAGCAGUGGGGAAUAUUGCACAAUGGGCGCAAGCCUGAUGCAGCCAUGCCGCGUGUAUGAAGAAGGCCUUCGGGUUGUAAAGUACUUUCAGCGGGGAGGAAGGUG
rnacentral:rRNA from 2 species